CCUACGGGAGGCAGCAGUGAGGAAUAUUGGUCAAUGGUCGGGAGACUGAACCAGCCAAGCCGCGUGAGGGAUGACGGUACAGAGUAUCGUAAACCUCUUUUGUCAGGGAACAAAAGCGGGGACGUGUCCCCGGUUGAGUGUACCUGAAGAAAAAGCAUCGGCUAACUCCGUGCCAGCAGCCGCGGUAAUACGGAGGAUGCGAGCGUUAUCCGGUUUUAUUGGGUUUAAAGGGUGCGCAGGCGGUCUGUUAAGUCAGCGGUAAAAGCCCGGGGCUCAACCCCGGCCCGCCGUUGAAACUGGCAGUCUCGAGUUGGAGAGAAGUAGGCGGAAUGCGCGGUGUAGCGGUGAAAUGCAUAGAUAUCGCGCAGAACUCCGAUUGCGAAGGCAGCAUGCCGGCUCCACACUGACGCUGAGGCACGAAAGCGUGGGUAUCGAACAGGAUUAGAUACCCGAGUAGUC
rnacentral:rRNA from 1 species